UACAGAGGUCUCAAGCGUUGUUCGGAUUCAUUGGGCGUAAAGGGUGCGUAGGUGGCGCUGUAAGUCGGGUGUGAAAUUUCGGAGCUUAACUCCGAAACUGCAUUCGAUACUGCGGUGCUUGAGGACUGGAGAGGAGACUGGAAUUCAUGGUGUAGCAGUGAAAAUGCGUAGAGAUCAUGAGGAAGACCAGUGGCGAAGGCGGGUCUCUGGACAGUUCCUGACACUGAGGCACGAAGGCCCAGGGGGAGCAAAACGGGG
rnacentral:rRNA from 1 species